rnacentral:tRNA from 1 species
UUAACUAAAACCAAAAUAGAGGUAUUUCACUGUUAAUGAAAAUAUUGAUUCAAGAAUCUAGUUAAA